rnacentral:rRNA from 1 species
GAACUACGGGACGCAGCAGUAGGGAAUCUUCCACAAUGGGCGAAAGCCUGAUGGAGCAACGCCGCGUGGGUGAAGAAGGUCUUCGGAUCGUAAAACCCUGUUGUUAGAGAAGAAAGUGCGUGAGAGUAACUGUUCACGUUUUGACGGUAUCUAACCAGAAAGCCACGGCUAACUACGUGCCAGCGGCCGCGGUAAUACGUAGGUGGCAAGCGUUAUCCGGAUUUAUUGGGCGUAAAGGGAACGCAGGCGGUCUUUUAAGUCUGAUGUGAAAGCGUUCGGCUUAACCGGAGUAGUGCAUUGGUAAA